rnacentral:rRNA from 1 species
GACGUAGGGCGCGAGCGUUGUCCGGAUUUAUUGGGCGUAAAGAGCUCGUAGGCGGCUUGUCGCGUCGACUGUGAAAACUCGGGGCUCAACUCCGAGCUUGCAGUCGAUACGGGCAGGCUAGAGUUCGGUAGGGGAGACUGGAAUUCCAGGUGUAGCGGUGAAAUGCGUAGAUAUCUGGAGGAACACCGGUGGCGAAGGCGGCGUUCUGGGACUGUCUCGACACUGAAGAACGAAAGCCAGGGGAGCAAACGGG